UUGACUUUACCCUCGCCGUUAAAAUGAAGUUAAUUUUACCCCUCCCGUUACUAAUUUCACCAAAUUUACCCCUCAAUUGGAUGGAAAACCCAAAUCAACUAAAAUUACCCAAUUUCAAUUAGAUAACCCAAUCUUUUCUCUUUUCAAUCUGAACCCGACCCAUUUAUACCAAAUUAAAACCCCAAAUCAAGCUCCGGCAAUCCCCAUUCAUUUUCUCCGUUUUCCGGCGAAACACCACCAAAACAACCUCCAAAUGACCACCUGAAACCACCAC
rnacentral:lncRNA from 1 species